CCUACGGGGGGCAGCAGUAGGGAAUCUUCCACAAUGGGCGAAAGCCUGAUGGAGCAACGCCGCGUGGGUGAAGAAGGUCUUCGGAUCGUAAAACUCUGUUGUUAGAGAAGAAAGUGCGUGAGAGUAACUGUUCACGUUUCGACGGUAUCUAACCAGAAAGCCACGGCUAACUACGUGCCAGCAGCCGCGGUAAUACGUAGGUGGCAAGCGUUAUCCGGAUUUAUUGGGCGUAAAGGGAACGCAGGCGGUCAUUUAAGUCUGAUGUGAAAGCCUUCGGCUUAACCGGAGUAGUGCAUUGGAAACUGGGAGACUUGAGUGCAGAAGAGGAGAGUGGAACUCCAGGUGUAGCGGUGAAAUGCGUAGAUAUAUGGAAGAACACCAGUGGCGAAAGCGGCUCUCUGGUCUGUAACUGACGCUGAGGUUCGAAAGCGUGGGUAGCAAACAGGAUUAGAUACCCGAGUAGUC
rnacentral:rRNA from 1 species